rnacentral:lncRNA from 1 species
CUUCCCUGAAAUGCCUUGAAACGAGCAAGUGGUUCAUGGGAGCUGUGCAAGAUAUUACAAAAUUGCAGUGUAUAUUUGAAAUUCAAAUGCACCUGAGAUUCAUGCAUUUUGUUGUCCUGCGGUUCACAUCUCCUAAAUAAAACAUUUCCCCUGUGUAGGCGCUCCCGGGGGCUCCACAUGAGGUCAGCGUUUGGGUGGCUUUGCCGGGGUCAGAAGACUGUUCUUCCAGGAAGGGCUGCAGAGACCCUGGGAACGGGACCAGCCCAGCUCACAAGUAUGAAGAGAAUGUCGGAGAGGAAGUGGUGGCUGUGAGUCAGCAUGAGUCAUCUCGUUCCAAUGAGAACGAAGACUGAGGUGUGCGCCCUUUUUUUUCUUUUUCUUCUUUUUCCUCUUUUUUCUUUUCUUCCUCCCCCCCCCUUCUCUCUUUCUCUCUCUCUCUCUUUUUUUUUUUUUUUUUUUUUUGGUCUCAGCCACGGGGACAUGUUCAGGAAUAGAGGGGAAUAGUGACUGGCUGGCUGUUCUGAGCCUGGGCUAGUAUUCCAGGCCGGCUGUGCCUGAGCCCGUGUGUGCCCCAGACCUUCGCGGCUCGGCGGCUGGAAGGUGGAGCCAGCGGCUUCUCCCCGAUGUGCAAAGUAAAGAGAAAAGGGGAGAGGACUUGGCUCAGGGGUGCGGCCGCCAGCAGCUCUCCCAUCCUUUAUGAACUGCGUCAGUAAAGGAGACUCUCAGGCGGAAGGACUGUGAGAACAAUGCAGGAGGAGUGGCCAUGGCCACCAGAAGACAUGACACCAUGUGCAGACAAGGACGACAAGUUAGUGAAACAGUCUUCACAGAAAAGGGGAACACAGGCUGAUACCAACGUGGGAACACUUGGCGGAGAGCGUUCUCACCUGCUGCCAGGUGAGUGCAGCCAGGUUGGCGACAUCUCCCAACUCUGCUGAAGGGGAUACCCCACCUCCUGGUACCACCACCACCACCACCACCACCACCACGCAACCCUCCCUCUUGCUGGCGAGGAGCGGCCAGGCAGCCCUGAAGACCCAGAAAUGCCAGAAGCGGGACGCCAGGCAGCAAGCAGCCUAUCUGUGUGCACUUGAUGCAGAGGUCAGAAUGAAGUGGUCACAAUGGUAAGAUCUAAGACCUGCUGCUAAGUCAGAAUCACAUGCGAAUUACGGCAUUUGUAGAAAAAGCAAAACCAACGUAAUGUAAAUAAACACACAGAGCAACGGAAAGGAUCUGGAAAAAUUUGAACUCUUGUGUUGGUGUGGACGUAGGACCGGGGACGGGAGCCGAACAAGCUGGGUUUGAAAUAAAUGAGAUCUGAAAUAAAUGUAGACACACACAUAUCUAUAGUGAUGAGACCGUAUCUGUGUAACGCUCGCCUCAUUAAAAUGAAAAACACGAACACAUCACCAGCUUAAAACGAAGCUCGGCCCGUCUCACGUUCCCAGCAUUUAUUUCAGAGAACUGAUUAUAGAAUGGCUUGCUCUGGAUUUUAUAGCCUAGACCCCG